rnacentral:rRNA from 1 species
CCAGACUCCUACGGGAGGCAGCAGUGGGGAAUAUUGCACAAUGGGGGGAACCCUGAUGCAGCGAUGCCGCGUGGAGGAAGAAGGUUUUCGGAUUGUAAACUCCUUUUAUCAGGGACGAUAAUGACGGUACCUGAAGAAAAAGCUCCGGCUAACUACGUGCCAGCAGCCGCGGUAAUACGUAGGGAGCGAGCGUUGUCCGGAAUUACUGGGUGUAAAGGGAGCGUAGGCGGGACGGCAAGUCAGAUGUGAAAACUGAGGGCUCAACUUUCAGACUGCAUUUGAAACUGCUGUUCUUGAGUGAAGUAGAGGUAAGCGGAAUUCCUAGUGUAGCGGUGAAAUGCGUAGAUAUUAGGAGGAACAUCGGUGGCGAAGGCGGCUUACUGGGCUUUUACUGACGCUGAGGCUCGAAAGCGUGGGGAGCAAACAGGAUUAGAUACCCCAGUA